rnacentral:lncRNA from 1 species
GGCCGGCAAAGUGGAAGAGCAGCACCUGCGGACUCGUGACAUCAUCAAUGUGUCCAACAGGUACUUUAACCCAAGCGGUGAGCCCCUGGAAUUGGACUCCCGCUUCUGGGAACUCCGGGACAGCAUCGUGCAGUGUGAGCUUCUCAUGCUGAGAGUUCUGCGCUUCCAGGUCUCCUUCCAGCAUCCACACAAGGUGUUUAAUGACGACCUUACCAAGCCAAUCAUUGAUAAUAUUGUGUCUGAUCUCAUUCAGAUUUAUACCAUGGACACAGAGAUCCCCUAAGGUCCUGGCCCAGGCCUGCCCAAAGAGAAGCCCAGGAUGGUCGGCUGCCUGGGGACAUUGUCACCACGUCGCCAUGACGGCUGGUCCCCACAGGACCAGCUGGGAGGACUGGUUGUGCUGCUGGAGAAGGGCUGGAGAAGGCAAUGGCAUGCUGCCGCUUUGCCAGUCCCUAGAAGUCGCGGUGCAGGUGAUGGUGGGAGCCGCGCCUCCAGCGGGCAGGCCGGGAGUGUACUGUGUGCAGCUGACCCAAGGCAGCCACAUCUGCGUUUGUCCUUUGAGAGGACUUUGACUACAAUACAGGCAUGACAUC